rnacentral:rRNA from 1 species
GACGAACGCUGGCGGCGUGCUUAACACAUGCAAGUCGAACGAGAGCGUAGAGAAAGCUUGCUUUUUCUACAAACUAGUGGCAAACGGGUGAGUAACGCGUAAACAACCUGCCCUACGGAUGGGGACAACAGCUGGAAACGCCUGCUAAUACCGAAUACGUUCCGAAAAUCGCAUGACUACCGGAAGAAAGGAUGGCCUCUAGUUAUAAGCUAUCGCCGGAGGAGGGGAUUGCGUCUGAUUAGCUAGUGGGAGGGGUCACGGCCCACCAAGGCGACGAUCAGUAGCCGGUCUGAGAGGCGGAACGGCCACAUUGGAACGGAGACACGGUCCAGACCCCUACGGGAGAGAGCAGUGGGGAAUCUUCCGCAAUGGGCGAAAGCCUGACGAAUGAACGCCGCGUGAGUGAAGACGGCCUUCGGGUUGUAAAGCUCUGUUAUACGGGACGAAUAAUCUUGUGGUUAAUACCCAUGGGAAGUGACGGUACCGGAAGAGAAAGCCACGGCUAACUACGUG